rnacentral:rRNA from 1 species
AUUCCAGCUCCAAUAGCGUAUAUUAAAGUUGUUGCAGUUAAAAAGCUCGUAGUCGGAUUUCGGGUCGGGCCGAGCGGUCUGCCGAUGGGUAUGCACUGUUCGGCGCGGCCUUCUUUCCGGAGACCGCGGCUACUCUUAACUGAGCGGGCGUGGGAGACGGAUCGUUUACUUUGAAAAAAUCAGAGUGUUUCAAGCAGGCAGCUCGCUCUUGCAUGGAUUAGCAUGGGAUAAUGAAAUAGGACUCUGGUGCUAUUUUGUUGGUUUCGAACACCGGAGUAAUGAUUAACAGGGACAGUCAGGGGCACUCGUAUUCCGUCGAGAGAGGUGAAAUUCUCAGACCAAUGGAAGACGAACCACUGCGAAAGCAUUUGCCAGGGAUGUUUUCAUCG